UACGGGGGGGGCAAGCGUUGUUCGGAAUUACUGGGCGGAAAGGGCUCGUAGGCGGCCAACUAAGUCAGACGUGAAAUCCCUCGGCUUAACCGGGGAACUGCGUCUGAUACUGGAUGGCUUGAGUUUGGGAGAGGGAUGCGGAAUUCCAGGUGUAGCGGUGAAAUGCGUAGAUAUCUGGAGGAACACCGGUGGCGAAGGCGGCAUCCUGGACCAACACUGACGCUGAGGAGCGAAAGCCAGGGGAGCAAACGGG
rnacentral:rRNA from 1 species